AUGUAAUCUGAGUGCGAGUCUCGGGGAUCUGAUUAUAAGUAAAAACUUAUAAAUUUUAUAGAAAUAUAAUUGAUACGAAAUAAAAAUUUAUACAUAAUAUGUAAGUAUAUAAAGAGACUAUUAGGAAAUACUAGCUAUAUAUUAAAGAGAUUAACCUUUAUCCCAACAAUUAGGAUAAUAAACUCUAAGAGAAAUCAGAUAAUAAACGAAGCGAAUUGAAUUAUCUUAUUAGCUUCAGGAAAAGAAAUCAAAAGAGAUUCUAUUAUUAGCGUGAGCAAAAAUAGAAAAGUCUAAAUAAUAAGUAAAAUGACUAUAAAGUUGUUUGAAUUUUAUGGGGAACCUUCCUCAAAGACUAAAUAUAAUAUAUAAGCGAUAGUAAAACAGUACCGUGAGGGAACAGUAAGUAGAAUUAGUAGUUUUAUAAGCAGCUCGAGCUAAAGCGAGAGCGUACCUUUUGCAUAAUGGGUCACCAAGUUAAUUUUAAAUGCGAGCUAUUGUAAGUGCGUAGUUAAACCGAUCAUAAAAAUAAUGAAUAGUAUUUAAAAUUAGACCCGAAGUACAGUGAUCUUACCACAGUCAGGAUUAUAAAAGUCCGAACGGGUUAUUGUUGCAAAAAUAUCCGAAGAAUUGUGGUAAGUAUAGUGAAAGACAAUUCGUGACUGUAUUAGCUGGUUUUCUGCGAAACCUAUAACAGUAGGCAGUUUAAAUAACAUCUUAACAGGUACAGAACUUAAUCUCAGACAAGAUGUAUUAAUACAUCCUAUUUUGUAUAGAUCGGGGGAUCGUGAAGAUUUUACCGGUGAGUUUGUGGACUCGAAAUGGUAAAGAUGGAUAUUAAACUAUCAGACAUAGAAUGAUAAGGUUGUAUGUCAAAAGGGAAACAGCCCAGAACAAGAGUUAAGGUUCCAAAAUUAUUAUUAAGUGAAAAUAAGAAGGUUUUUAUAUGAGUCGACAAGGAGAUGGGCUUAGAAGCAGCCAUAAUUUAAAGACCUCGUACCAGAGCACUUGUUAAAUGUUAAAAGCAUCGAAAAUUUAACGGAUCUAAAUAAUAUACCGAAACCUUGUCUAUAAAUAACAAUAAUUAUUGUUAUUUAUGGGGUAGCAGAACGUUGAAUUAAUCUAAGUAUUUGCUUUUAUAAAGUAAAUAAUAUUAUAAUUCAAGUGAGAAUGGUGACAUGAGUAGCGAAAAAGAAAGUUUUUCUAAUUAAUUAGAAAACGCUCGCCUUAAGCUUAUGGUUAUGAUAAGUAACGGCCUCUAAGUUUAUAAUCUGAAGGUUAAAACGAUGAGAAAAUCUUAUUACUAUUAAUGACAACAUUUUUUGGUGGAAAGUGUACUGGAAAUAAUUAGUAAUAUUGUAUUAAAAAUACAAGAACCGUUCCUAGGAACUACAACAAGUAAGCUAGUAGAGAAUACGAAGGCGCAUGAGAUAACAAUCUUAAAGGAACUCGGCAAAUUGACUACCGUAACUUAGGGAUAAGGAGGGCUCAUUAGUCCUGAUUAAUAUCAGGUAAAAAGGAAGAAGCAUAAAAUAAUGUUGUACGACUGUUUAAUUAAAACAAAGCACUUUGCAAAAAGAUGAUAAAUCUAAGUAUUGAGUGUGAUGUCUGCCCGAUCCCGGCUGGUUAACGAAAUCUACUAAAUGUAAUAAAUUUGGUUUUUAAGGAACCCCCGGUUAAUGGCGGCCUUAACGUGAGGGUCCUAAGGUAGCGAAAUGCCUUGGCCGUUAAAUGCGGUCUUGCAUGAAUGAUGUAACGAUACAACAGCUGUCUCUAAGAUUGACUCAGUGAAAUUGGAAUAACUGUGCAGAUACAGUUUACCCCUAGGUAGACGAGAAGACCCUAUGCAGCUUUACUGUUACUAAUUAUUGGAUAUAAUUCAAGCAACUUUUAGUUUAGAAGGUUUAUUGAUUAGAUAAAAGUGAAAGACCUUUAUUUGUUUAUUAUAUUAUAAACCUUUACCUAAUAAAAUCUAAAUUUUAUUAAAAAGGAACAGUUGUUAGGAGACAGUUUAUGUGGGGCACAGACCCCAUAAAGAGUAAAUGGGUGUAUCUAAAAUUAUAACUUAUAUUAAUUAUAUAAGUUUUUUAUUGUUUGAAAUUUUUUUUAACUUUGUUAUAUUUAAUCUUAUAUUUUUGUGUAUAAGUGUAUACAUGUUAUUAGGUAAGAUUUUCCUAUAGAGAAAUUAGUUGUAUAAAAGAUAUAAUAAAAAAUUACUAUAUCUUAUAUUUAUUAUGAUUUUUAAUCAUUAAUAAUAAUGUUAAAUAUUUAUCAAGUUGAAUGGCUUAAUCUUGCUUUACUGUUUGAUUCACAACAAAUCUUACAGUCGCGUAAGCGGGGCAUUAGAUCACAAGAUACAAAAAGGAAAGGUCUUGGAUUAUUGGAAAAGCUACGCUAGGGAUGUUUGUCCUUCAAUAUUUUUUAAUGAUUGAUACAUAUUGGGUUAAUUUCAAGAAUUACUUUAAUUACAAGUAAAUUUGAAGCGAAGUUUAUUUUAAAUAAAAAUAAAAUUGUUCAACGACUAAAGGUGAGUUAAAUAACAAUAAUCCUUUAUAAAUACUCAACAUUUUUUUAUUAGAUGUAUUAGUUUUAAGAAUAUUAAAUUAAAAAUUGCAAAUGAAUACAAAAUCUUUAGAUUUAAAAAA
rnacentral:rRNA from 1 species